rnacentral:rRNA from 1 species
UGGUGGGGGUGCUCGAGUGGCGAACGGGUGAGUAACACGUGGGUGAUCUGCCCUGCACUUCGGGAUAAGCUUGGGAAACUGGGUCUAAUACCGGAUAGGACCAUGGUUUAGUGUCUCAUGGUGGAAAGAUUAUUGUUUUGGUGCAGGAUGAGCUCGCGGCCUAUCAGCUUGCUGGUGGGGUAAUGGCCUACCAAGGCGUCGACGGGUAGCCGGCCUGAGAGGGUGGACGGCCACAUUGGGACUGAGAUACGGCCCAGACUCCUACGGGAGGCAGCAGUGGGGAAUAUUGCACAAUGGGCGCAAGCCUGAUGCAGCGACGCCGCGUGGGGGAUGACCGGCUUCGGGUUGUAAACUCCUUUCGUUAGGGACGAAGCCGCACCUUUUUUUGGGUGUGGAGACG